GAUGAACGCUGGCGGCGUGCCUAAUACAUGCAAGUCGAGCGAACGGACGAGAAGCUUGCUUCUCUGAUGUUAGCGGCGGACGGGUGAGUAACACGUGGGUAACCUACCUAUAAGACUGGGAUAACUUCGGGAAACCGGAGCUAAUACCGGAUAAUAUUUUGAACCGCAUGGUUCAAAAGUGAAAGACGGUCUUGCUGUCACUUAUAGAUGGAUCCGCGCUGCAUUAGCUAGUUGGUAAGGUAACGGCUUACCAAGGCAACGAUGCAUAGCCGACCUGAGAGGGUGAUCGGCCACACUGGAACUGAGACACGGUCCAGACUCCUACGGGAGGCAGCAGUAGGGAAUCUUCCGCAAUGGGCGAAAGCCUGACGGAGCAACGCCGCGUGAGUGAUGAAGGUCUUCGGAUCGUAAAACUCUGUUAUUAGGGAAGAACAUAUGUGUAAGUAACUGUGCACAUCUUGACGGUACCUAAUCAGAAAGCCACGGCUAACUACGUGCCAGCAGCCGCGGUAAUACGUAGGUGGCAAGCGUUAUCCGGAAUUAUUGGGCGUAAAGCGCGCGUAGGCGGUUUUUUAAGUCUGAUGUGAAAGCCCACGGCUCAACCGUGGAGGGUCAUUGGAAACUGGAAAACUUGAGUGCAGAAGAGGAAAGUGGAAUUCCAUGUGUAGCGGUGAAAUGCGCAGAGAUAUGGAGGAACACCAGUGGCGAAGGCGACUUUCUGGUCUGUAACUGACGCUGAUGUGCGAAAGCGUGGGGAUCAAACAGGAUUAGAUACCCUGGUAGUCCACGCCGUAAACGAUGAGUGCUAAGUGUUAGGGGGUUUCCGCCCCUUAGUGCUGCAGCUAACGCAUUAAGCACUCCGCCUGGGGAGUACGACCGCAAGGUUGAAACUCAAAGGAAUUGACGGGGACCCGCACAAGCGGUGGAGCAUGUGGUUUAAUUCGAAGCAACGCGAAGAACCUUACCAAAUCUUGACAUCCUUUGACAACUCUAGAGAUAGAGCUUUCCCCUUCGGGGGACAAAGUGACAGGUGGUGCAUGGUUGUCGUCAGCUCGUGUCGUGAGAUGUUGGGUUAAGUCCCGCAACGAGCGCAACCCUUAAGCUUAGUUGCCAUCAUUAAGUUGGGCACUCUAAGUUGACUGCCGGUGACAAACCGGAGGAAGGUGGGGAUGACGUCAAAUCAUCAUGCCCCUUAUGAUUUGGGCUACACACGUGCUACAAUGGACAAUACAAAGGGCAGCGAAACCGCGAGGUCAAGCAAAUCCCAUAAAGUUGUUCUCAGUUCGGAUUGUAGUCUGCAACUCGACUACAUGAAGCUGGAAUCGCUAGUAAUCGUAGAUCAGCAUGCUACGGUGAAUACGUUCCCGGGUCU
rnacentral:rRNA from 1 species